UACGUAGGGUCCGAGCGUUGUCCGGAAUUAUUGGGCGUAAAGAGCUCGUAGGCGGCUUGUCACGUCGGGUGUGAAAGCCCGGGGCUUAACCCCGGGGUCUGCAUUCGAUACGGGCUAGCUAGAGUGUGGUAGGGGAGAUCGGAAUUCCUGGUGUAGCGGUGAAAUGCGCAGAUAUCAGGAGGAACACCGGAGGCGAAGGCGGCUUACUGGGGCCUUUCUGACGCUGAGGAACGGAAAGCUAGGGGAGCGAACGGG
rnacentral:rRNA from 1 species